rnacentral:lncRNA from 1 species
UGGCAAUUGUUAAAAAAAAGUCUGAAAAGGGAUAUCGCCUGGCCACAAAACAUGGUAUCUUUCUUGCACUAACCAGUUCAAGGAAACAAAUUCCCAUUUUUUUUUUUUGGGGGGGGGGGUGGUACCUUCAGAUAUUUUUACUGAACACUUAUUUCUCUUAGGCGUGUCGUUAAAAUCUGAUUCGAUAUGCGCAGGAAAAUGUUUUUUUAAAAUGUGGAUAUUGUGGUAAAAACAGAUGUGAAGCAUAUUAUUUUAAUAUAUUGUGUUUCACAUUUUAAUAUAGUGUGCCUA